rnacentral:lncRNA from 1 species
UGAACCCACGACCUUGCGAAGAACAGAAACAUGAAAGACCGGGUGUAUAAGCGAUUCCUUGGGAAGGGCCAAACGGUAUGCAACGAAACGAAUUCGUGCCACGAUCAUAAAUGAACCAAUGAAUCUUGGGGCUAAUUUGGUGUGCUUAAAACGGCUGAGAGAGGACUGUCGGUAAGGGCGUAACUUCACAUAAACCCAAUCAUGAACCUCAAACUGCACCUCCCGUCUUUUAGCAUUAGCAUAUUUGACCAUUCGCU